UUGCACCUAUAUCAUAGGCCUCUCUACUUUUUGUUAGUCAGGCCUGAGCUAGGUGCAUAGAGAAAAAGCUGUCUCACAGCAGCAGCCAGACAACUGUAGGGAUGGAUCCACUGGUAAUGGCUUAAUGUGCUACUUACCUACUGAUUUCAUCUCACAUUU